GCCGCUUAUUGCUGAACCGGGUUUUUUUGGUUCCAUGGUUUCUUCCAAACCCUAAUCAUUUCCUCAAAAUAUUCAGCCGUUUCUCUAUCUUUCUUCUCUCCUUCGUUCUCAAUCGAGCUUCUCCUACAUCAAAGAUCUAUUUGUUUUUCUACUCUUCACCUUCAUCGCAAUCUAACAGCUAUUUGGAGGUUCGAUUUCUGUUGAUUGACUUCGAUUUAUUUCACACAAACCAAAAGCUGACCUACUUCCGCAUACCACCUCUUCAUCCUAAACUCUCUUGCACCAUCAGAUACGUAUACAAGGAUAUCAAGAGGUGAUGAAAUGACAACCUACUAAGAAUUUUUCCCCUUAUCGGGGCAGGGUAAAGGUUCCAGAAACAACUUCCCAACAACUCGACCAGAACUUCUUAGCCAGUUUCGAAACCAAAUUUCUUAAGAUUUCUUGUGAUUGUGAUGGAGACGAUUUGCUACCAAUUAGCAUAGGGGAAUAUGCAGUUGGAAAGCUUAUAAGCUCCUCUCUGGAAGAUGAGGAACCCCAAACCCUUUUCAGCUUGUGAGAAAUAUUGUUGGGAAACUUGGCUUUGAAGUAAGGAGAUGUCUUAGCAUGUAUUUGACCAGAGUUGACUAACAUUUUCAUUUUGAAAAUUCGUCAUCAGCCUUGCGAUAAACUCUCUUGCACCAUCAGAUGCUGCUACAAGGAUAUCAAGAGGUGAUGAAAUGGCAACCUACUAAGAAUUUUUUCCCUGAGCUGAUCAACACACAUAACAUUACAAGUAUCUGGAAGACAGUGGCUGAAAUAUGAUGCACAAGGGAAGAUUCUUUCAAAUGGAACUCUUCAAGUGUCUGAAUGUCACCAGAUUUCAGGGAUGGUGAAACUGUUGCGGUCAUAUAUUUUAGAGUUGGAUGCGCGCCCACAAGGUUUCACACCUCUAUGCUAAACACUUGAUUUCUUCUAGCAGAGUUUUAAUGGAGUUUGUUUCAAAGACGGAGAUCUGCCACAUGUCUCGGAUAUGGAAGUAUCGGAUUCAACGCAGUCCUGAACGCACAAAGGUCUGGAUCGAGCCUAACAAACGCCGUAGAGUCGUCGUUGUUUACCACCUCAAAGAGAGAAGAACAAAGGCACCAGAAGUGCAUUAAGUGCGCCUCGCUACAAAAACUCGCCUACGCGCAAAAAGCUCUCAAUUUUAAUAACUAUGGUUUUGGUUGUGGUUCAACAUGGAGAAAGGAACAUGUAUGACCAACAUUGGUUUACUGCAACCUUCAAGGAAAAAUAUCCUUUUGACCUUAUAAUAUAUUUCUUUAUUCUUAAUUUAAACUGCUUGACGUCAAAACAUUAUUAUUUUAAAUUACUUGAUUACAUGUUUUUUUUCUACUUUUUAAAAAAUCAUACAUCAUAUU
rnacentral:lncRNA from 1 species